GGGGAUAUGGCGAAAUUGGUAGACGCUACGGACUUUCCGUCGACUUUCAAAAUCGUGAGGGUUCAAGUCCCUCUAUCCCCA
rnacentral:tRNA from 2 species